GACAGAGGGUGCAAACGUUGUUCGGAAUUACUGGGCGUAAAGCGCGCGUAGGCGGCAGCGUGUGUCGGGCGUGAAGUCCCACGGCUCAACCGUGGAAGUGCACUCGAAACUGCGCAGCUGGAGUCUCGGAGAGGAAGGCGGAAUGCUUGGUGUAGAGGUGAAAUUCGUAGAUAUCAAGCGGAACACCGGUGGCGAAGGCGGCCUUCUGGACGAUGACUGACGCUGAAGCGCGAAAGCGUGGGGAGCAAACAGG
rnacentral:rRNA from 1 species